UACGGAGGGUGCGAGCGUUGUCCGGAAUCACUGGGCGUAAAGGGCGCGUAGGUGGCUUCUCAAGCGCGCGGUGAAAGCCCGGGGCUCAACCCCGGGUCGGCCGUGCGGACUGGGAGCUCGAGCACUGUAGGGGCGGGUGGAAUUCCGGGUGUAGCGGUGAAAUGCGCAGAUAUCAGGAGGAACACCGAUGGCGAAGGCAGGUCUCGUGGGCAUUAACUGACGCUGAGGAGCGAAAGCAUGGGGAGCGAACAGG
rnacentral:rRNA from 1 species